AUGGUGUCCAGAGCCAAGAGGCCCGGGCCCCUGCUGAAGGGAGAGGAGGCCCCGCUCUCCCUGGAGCACUGGAUCCAGAAGAAGGGCCAGAGCCCCUGGCAGCCCGGCCACUUUAAGUCGGAGAGCCCGGUGGCCGCGGCUAGCGAGGCCUACGCCAAGUUCUGUGCCGAAGCCAAACCCAGCAAAUGCCAGCGCGACGCUGGAGCCGCCUGGGCCCUGUGGCAGGCCUGCGUGGAUGGCGGCCAGUUGCUGGCCCAGCGGCAGGAAGAGUGCACGGCCUGGCAGACCAAGAGCCUGGAGCUGGAGUUCAAGUGCGCACAGCUGCAGCAGGAGAAACAGAGUCUGGAGGAGGCCUGGGAGGCUGAGAAGUUCCGGGCCAGCUUGGAGCGGCCUCCACCCCCUCAGCCCCCAGAGCGGCUGCCUGAGGGCUCCGAGGGCCAGGCCUCUGUCUCUGAGGGGCAGGAGGCCUUGGGGCGUUUGCAGGAGCGCUGCCAGCAGCUGGAGAAGGAGAAGGCCCAGUGGGAGGCCCAGAAGCAGGAGCUCAAGGCCGAGCUGGGGAAGAUGCGGCAGGGCCUAGAGGUGGGCCAGGGCCGCCUGGCAAGCCUGCUCAAAGCCAACCAGGAGGACCGUGAGACGUGCCGCAGCCUGCAGGAGAGCUAUGCCCAGUGCCAGGCCGAGAUCGAGAGGCUCCGCAAGGAGACUGGAGCGCAGCAGCUGCAGCUGAGGCAAGCCUCCGCAGCUGCCGUGACCCAUCGGGGGCCCAAGGAGGAGGAGCCCGAGGCGGCCAAGAGGCACAGGCCCGGGCACGGGGGGCGGGGCACGGCGUGGACCAGGCCAGCUAGCGGGAGCUGUGGCCCUUCUGGGGCCGCAGCCGCAGCGAGGCCUGCUCUCGAGCUCCCCCUGCCAGCCUGGGCGCCCAGCCUGCAGGCCCCAGAGGAGGAGGCAGCCCGUAGCGGAGGCGGAGAAGGAGGAGGAGAAGAAAAAGAAGGAGGAGGCGGGGGUACCGCUGCACCCUCAGGUGGCCCCCAGCAGGCCCAGGUGGGCCGGCGCUGGAAAGCGUUGCCCCGCUGGAAGAGAGUGUGCAGCUCAUGCGGUGCCUGGGGGCGGGCAGAGAGGAGGGGCGGGGUCUGGGACUGCUCCUGGUGCCGAGCCCAGGCUGGGCCUUGGGGGGCCCCCUUCACACCACGCGGGGGCCACUAUUUCCCAGGCCGGGCCGCUGCAGUCACCUUCCCAGUGAGAGGUCGGGGAAUGCAGGGGCCCGGGAGGGGGUGGAGAGCAGCCCCGGACCCCUGGAGAGGGCCGCCCAAGCGAGAUGUGGCCUGGAAGAGGAGGGAAGGACCCCUGGCCAGCCCCGGGGAGUGGAUGUGCCCCCAGUGCCACGUCUCCAACUACGGGCACAGGACCGAGUGCUUUCGGUGCCAUUCCCGGAGGGAGAUGGACUUGGCACGGGAGGGAGAGGCCACUUUCCAGGCCUAG
rnacentral:lncRNA from 1 species